rnacentral:rRNA from 1 species
UGGGUAGUCCGCACGAGCGCACCCUAUCCUUAGUUGCCAGCACGUUAUGGUGGGGACUCUAAGGAGACUGCCUGGGAUAACUAGGAGGAAGGUGGGGAUGAUGUCAAGUCAGUAUGUCCCUUAUGUCCAGGGCUACACACGUGUUACAAUGGUCGGUACAAAGGGUCGCAAAACCGUGAGGUGGAGCCAAUCCCAAAAAACCGGCCUCAGUUCGGAUUGGAGUCUGCAACUCGACUCCAUGAAGGCGGAAUCGCUAGUAAUCGUGGAUCAGAACGCCACGGUGAAUACGUUCCCGGGUCUUGUACACACCGCCCGUCACGCCAUGGAAGUCAGCAGUACCCAAAUCGAGUGGCCCAACCUUCGGGAGGGAGCUCGUUAAGGUAAGGCUGGUAACUGGGGCGAAGUCGUAACAAGGUAGCCGUACCGGAAGGUGCGGCUGGAUCACCUCCUUUCU